GCACAAGCAGUGGAGUAUGUGGUUUAAUUCGAAGCAACGCGAAGAACCUUACCAGGUCUUGACAUCCGAUGCAUAGCACAGAGAUGUGUGAAAUCCUUCGGGACAUCGAGACAGGUGGUGCAUGGUUGUCGUCAGCUCGCGUCGUGAGAUGUUGGGUUAAGUCCCGCAACGAGCGCAACCCUUAUUGCCAGUUACUACGUUAAGAGGACUCUGGCGAGACUGCCGUUGACAAAA
rnacentral:rRNA from 1 species